UAUCGCAUGAAAACAUACCUUAACAUAAGUAUUCCGGUAGAUGGUGUGGCAAUCGUAUCAUGUUAUUCUCUCCUUGGUAGCUUUUUCUCCCCCCCCACUAUUACUCCCAAAUGAGAAUGUGAUGUCAUGUACUGAAAAUUUAGAGCCUUGUCUGGCAAAGCUGUGUAUUAUAUCUUCAACACAAAACACGAACAUAAUCUCGUCUCGAUUGUCAUUUGAAACGGGAUUAAGUAACAGUGAAGACUUAUGGGUGCAAAUAAAGCCUCAAACUGAGAUACAAUUAUCUGCAGACAUGUGUCCAAUAAACAAUUUGCAUAAUCCGCAAAUAAUGAAAGAUAAAAUAGUCCAUGAACGAUCUACAGGUCUAUAAGGAAAUCUACGGUAGAAUCUCUUCUCUGCAGCAAUCACACGUGGAUUAUCUCGUUAAUAGCAUUCGAACGAGGGGAGUGGGAAUUGAAUGGAGCAAAGAUUUCGACUUUAUCCCCCCCGUUGCCACACCGAUCAAAAAUACUAAUAAAAGAGAAGCCCCUGGAAACGUAAAUAUCUCGAAAAGUUAUAAAUGUUGGAAACAAAAUAUCGUUGGAAAAUAUCGAGAAGCAUA
rnacentral:misc_RNA from 1 species